UGGAGAACUAGUGGUUAGGCCACAGCACUCUCACUGCUGUGACAUGGGUUCAAUUCCCGGUCCCAA